rnacentral:lncRNA from 1 species
CUGGUUUCUUCAUGGACCAGGCUAUUGGGCCAUUUUAUUCACUUCUUGGGCCAAGACCACUUGGCCCAAUCUGAAGUUCAAGGAAAAACGAGUGGGCUAGCCCAUUUUUUAUCAAGUAAAAGCCAACAAAAUGCAUGGGCUUCAAAUCUCUAGCCCAAAUUACUAACCCAGGAGAUAAACAAAACAAAACCCAAUCCAAACAAAC